rnacentral:tRNA from 1 species
CGUGUCGUGAGAUGUUGGGUUAAGUCCCGCAACGAGCGCAACCCUUAAGCUUAGUUGCCAUCAUUAAGUUGGGCACU